AUAUCCCACCCAGUCUAAUCCCACUCUCCCCCUCACUCCCCACACCAUUUAAUGUCUCACCCAGCCUAAUCCCACUCUCCCCCCUCACUCCCCGCUCCCUUUAAUAUCCCACCCAGUCUAAUCCCACUCACCCCCUCACUCCCCGCUCCCUUUAAUAUCCCACCCAGUCUAACUCCUUUGAACCUAUACAUUCUGUCUGUUUAAUAGGAUCUCUCUGAUAUCCUAAUUCCUGACUCCGUUUAUAAAUGAACAAUGUUACUUGGAAUUGUUCUGUUUGAUUUGUGUUCGGGACAGCUCAGUUCUAGCAAUCAAUGCCAAAAAUGUAAUUUGUUUAUUCUGUUCUGGAAUUGAAAAUCUCUGGUGGCUUUGCCUCAAAGUUUCUCUUUCAGAAAGUUAAUUAUCAAGACAGAACCUGAUGACCUGCUGGAAAUGACAGGCCCAGUCUGAAUCUCUGGGACUGGAAUCGACCUGCCUGAAAUGCUGAACCCUCAACCAGAUUCCCCGAAUGCUCUGCUCCCUGCACAGCACAAACUCCACAUCACUGGAAUUCAGAAUUCACCUGAUGAUUUACAUUAGAUCGACACAUUCCAGUUUCCUGGCCCCAGCUACCUCUCCUUCAGCAAGUGCAAUCCCUCGUCAUUCCCAUUCCUCAUCGAAUGGUCUGAAGAUUCUCCAAUAAAAACAGCAGUUCUGGAGAAGAGUUACACCAGACUCAAAACAUGGAACUGUCUCUCCCUCUCGCUCUAAAUCUCUCUAUGGUUCCUGUAGGAGUUUCUCCAGCACAUUAUGUUUGUUGUGAGACAUACACAAGUCAUUGUUGUGAACAAGUUUCUCUACGUCAAUCUGGUCAAACACUAAACCAUUAAAAACAAUCCUGGGACUUUA